GAUGAAGAACGUAGCGAAAUGCGAUACGUAGUGUGAAUUGCAGAAUUCAGUGAAUCAUCGAAUCUUUGAACGCACAUUGCACCUCUCGGUAUUCCGGGAGGUAUGCCUGUUCGAGCGUCAUUUGUACCCUCAAGCUCUGCUUGGUGUUGGGUGUUUGUUCCGCCUCUGUGUGUGAACUCGCCUCAAAACAAUUGGCAGCCGGUGUACUUGUUUCGGAGCGCAGCACAUUUUGCGAUCCAGAUCAACGUACAGCGGCAUCCAAGAAGCCUUAUUUAACGCUCUUGACCUCGGAUCAGGUAGGCAUACCCGCUGAACUUAAGCAUAUCAAUAAGCGGAGGA
rnacentral:misc_RNA from 1 species